rnacentral:sRNA from 1 species
GAUAGAGGAUGGCAAUCUAAGUUCGCCGCGUCCUGCGGCAACGAUUGCAUGAACAACAUCCUGUUGG